rnacentral:lncRNA from 1 species
UAACAGCCUAAGCACGUCUGCUCCUGUUCUGAAGAAAAGAAAAAUUACAAAUCCAUACGUGUUCUGUCAGUGUUUAGUAUAAUAGUUUCAUCAAUGUUUCCUAUCAUCUGCCUCUGAAUUCCAUCUUCUCCAUUUCACAGAAGUGUUUUUGGUGGAGAAACAAACUGUACAUUAAUUAUUAAUUAGUUAAUUGCUCUUUGUCGGGGUUUUUUUAGAUAGUAUGCAAAGGUUGAACUGUCCCAUCGUGUGUAACAAUGAUGGAAUAGUACCUUUUCCUUGUUCUGCACCUGUUCCAUGAUGAAGAUGAGCAGGUGAAGGUAAUGAUGUUAAGCUGUCUUAAUUCACUUCAAGACUCAGACACCGAAGCAGAAGUCAGCUUUGUUGUGAACAGCAUUAACAGUUCACAACAAUUUCCUACAGCUGUUUUUCACCUACAGCACUGACACAAACGUUUACCCUCUGGUCCCAUAUGUAAGUAUUAUGUGACAAUCUAUUUACAUGGACCUCCAUAUACUCAGAGGAAGACCACAGAAUCAAGAGGCAUCUCAACUCCAAAUGGUAGUUCCUUUUCCAGUUCAACACUUCUAGGUUUCUGCCUUGUGCUCUGUAUUUAGUGACUGGAUCUGAAAAAGAGAGCUGAUGAACAAUAUUUCCUAAUUUUGACUAAGCUUUGGCUUAAACCUCUGGAUCCUUCUGCUGCAGUUGCAUUUUCUCUUCUUCAUUCUGCAGUUUCAACUUCUCACGUUCUUGUUCCUAUCAUAAGGAAGAAGAUGGCUGAAGAUGUAACACAUGAAAAAAAAAAUCAUAACAAAACAUUAAGGGAGAUUAAACAGCAUCAAUUACAUUGCCAUGGAAUGCCCUGCCCAAGGUAGAUCCACCUUUUGCUCUUCAUCCAGACUUCUCUUGUAGUGGUAAAUCCAGUGUGCCAGGUACUCGAUGGGGUCUGCAGGCCGAUGCUCCACAACCUCUGCCAGACCCUUUUUCAAACAGCUUCCCAG